rnacentral:rRNA from 1 species
UACGUAGGGUGCGAGCGUUGUCCGGAAUUAUUGGGCGUAAAGAGCUUGUAGGUGGCUCGUUGCGUCGGGAGUGAAAACCUGCGGCUUAACCGCAGGCCUGCUUCCGAUACGGGCGAGCUAGAGUUCGGUAGGGGAGACUGGAAUUCCUGGUGUAGCGGUGGAAUGCGCAGAUAUCAGGAGGAACACCGGUGGCGAAGGCGGGUCUCUGGGCCGAUACUGACGCUGAGGAGCGAAAGCGUGGGGAGCGAACAGG